UUUUAAUCAAAAUACACUUUCAUGAACACUUACUGCAUAAAAACAGUUAUCAACAAAGAGUCCAACCAUGAUUCAGCACGAGAACUCUCUUUAACUUGCUUACCCAUCAACACAGAAUCUCCCCAAUGCAAAAGCUUCCUCUAAAGAAGGGAUCAAUCAUUUCUAAGCUCAUUCGUGCAUGGAAACUUUAACAGGCUAAAGGCACAGAACUUCAAGGGAAGAUAACUCACAAUUUCACCGAUGACAAGACAAGACAA
rnacentral:lncRNA from 1 species